rnacentral:rRNA from 1 species
UACGGGGGGAGCAAGCGUUGUUCGGAUUUACUGGGCGUAAAGAGCGCGCAGGCGGUCGUGCAAGUCGCGUGUGAAAGCCCCCGGCUCAACUGGGGAGGGUCACGCGAUACUGCUCGACUCGAAGGCAGGAGAGGGAAGUGGAAUUCCCGGUGUAGUGGUGAAAUGCGUAGAUAUCGGAAGGAACAUCAGUGGCGAAAGCGACUUCCUGGACCAAUACUGACGCUCAUGUGCGAAAGCGUGGGGAGCAAACAGG